CACGUAGGGGCGAGCGUUGUCCGGAAUUACUGGGCGUAAAGGGCGCGCAGGCUGUUAUGCGAGUCUGCUGUGAAAUGUACCGGCUCAACCGGUGCCUUGCGGCGGAUACUGCAUAGCUGGAGUACUGGAGAGGGAAGUGGAAUUCCCGGUGUAGCGGUGAAAUGCGUAGAUAUCGGGAGGAACGCCGGUGGCGAAGGCGGCUUUCUGGCCAGUUACUGACGCUCAUGCGCGAAAGCUGGGGUAGCGAACCGGAUUAGAUACCCGCGUA
rnacentral:rRNA from 1 species